rnacentral:tRNA from 1 species
GGAAACGUAGCUCAGAUGGUAGAGUGCUCGCUUAACAUGCGAGAGGUACGGGAAUCGAUAGCCCGUGCCUCCA